AUAAAAUUGGUAGACAGAGAUACCAAUGCUUUAUGUUCAUCAGUAAAUGAUCCCCACAUCACAACAUUUGAUGGAAAGCUGUUUCAUGUUUUCUUGCUUGGUGAAUUUGUGUUCUAUCGACACUCCACACUACCUAUUGAGGUUCGAGUGUUUUAUCGAGCCUGUGGUAGUGGACGUGUGUCAUGUAACUGUGCAGUUGCAGCAAGAGCAGGAGAUGAUGUUAUUGUCAUUGACAAGUGUGGUCCAAAAAAUUUGGGGAAUGCUUUUUACCCAA